rnacentral:rRNA from 1 species
CCUACGUGCGGCAGCAGUGAGGAAUAUUGGUCAAUGGGCGCGAGCCUGAACCAGCCAAGUAGCGUGAAGGAUGACUGCCCUACGGGUUGUAAACUUCUUUUAUCAAGGAAUAAAGUUAGGCACGUGUGCCUUUUUGUAUGUACUUUAUGAAUAAGGAUCGGCUAACUCCGUGCCAGCAGCCGCGGUAAUACGGAGGAUCCGAGCGUUAUCCGGAUUUAUUGGGUUUAAAGGGAGCGUAGAUGGGUUGUUAAGUAAGUUGUGAAAGUUUGCGGUUCAACCGUAAAAUUGCAAUUGAUACUGGCAGUCUUGAGUACAGUUGAGGUAGGCGGAAUUCGUGGUGUAGCGGUGAAAUGCUUAGAUAUCACGAAGAACUCCGAUUGCGAAGGCAGCUUACUAAACUGCCACUGACAUUGAUGCUCGAAAGUGUGGGUAUCAAACAGGAUUAGAUACCCCAGUAGUC